rnacentral:rRNA from 1 species
GACGAACGCUGGCGGCGUGCUUAACACAUGCAAGUCGAACGGAAAGGCCUGCUUUCCCUUGUGGAUUGCGGGUACUCGAGUGGCGAACGGGUGAGUAACACGUGAGUGAUCUGCCCCCAACUUGGGUAUAAGCCUGGGAAACUGGGUCUAAUUCCCGAUAGGACUGCAGGGUGGUGCCUGUGGUGGAAAACGAUUUUCUAGUGGUUGGGGAUGAGCUCGCGGCCUAUCAGCUUGUUGGUGGGGUAAUGGCCUACCAAGGCGGCGACGGGUAGCCGGCCUGAGAGGGUGGACGGCCGCAUUGGGACUGAGAUACGGCCCAGACUCCUACGGGAGGCAGCAGUGGGGAAUAUUGCACAAUGGGCGGAAGCCUGAUGCAGCGACGCCGCGUGGGGGAUGACGGCCUUCGGGUUGUAAACUCCUUUCGACCGCGAGGAAGCCACCUGGUUGGAAGGGUGGUGACGGUAGUGGCAGAAGAAGCACCGGCUAACUACGUG